CACAAGCGGUGGAUGAUGUGGUUUAAUUCGAUGCAACGCGAAAACCUUACCCACCUUUGACAUGUACGGAAUCCUCUAGAGAUAGAGGAGUGCUCGAAAGAGAGCCGUAACACAGGUGCUGCAUGGCUGUCGUCAGCUCGUGUCGUGAGAUGUUGGGUUAAGUCCCGCAACGAGCGCAACCCUUGUCAUUAGUUGCUACGAAAGGGCACUCUAAUGAGACUGCCGGUGACAAACCGGAGGAAGGUGGGGAUGACGUCAAGUCCUCAUGGCCUUUAUAUCCUGGGCUACACACACGCUACAAUGGUCUGUACAAUAGGUUGCCAAGCCGCGAGGCGGAGCCAAUCCAUAAAGCAGGCCUCAGUUCAGAUUGCAGUCUGCAACCCGACUGCAUGAAGAUGGAGUUGCUAGUAACCGCAGGUCAGCUAUACUGCGGUGAAUACGUUCCCGGGUCUU
rnacentral:rRNA from 1 species